UCCCGCUGCCCUUCUUGGGCGUUUCCUCCCUAGACUUCGGGCCGCUCCAUUCGGGGCGGCCUUUUUUCUUGCCUCG
rnacentral:sRNA from 1 species